GAAUAAUCAGCCUGCUUCAAUAAUGAAUAGCCUCACCCUUUGAUUUAUUCAGUAUCUAGCCGUAUCCUUGCUUAAGAAACCCAGGGGCUAAUCUUGAAAUAAACCGGGCAUGAAUUUGAGAUUGUGGAAUCCUACAUUCUCAGAAAAAUCACUGAGGGGGGUUAAUCCAUAAGCUAGUUGCAGUCAUGGUGAUGCCAGCCAGACCUCCAGGUGAUCCGUUACUGAAGAUAGCCAUCAGAGUAAGACAUGCAAACCUGCACCCUGCACCACUCCUGCUCAUAGUUUCCAUGCCUCCUACUUCUUAAAAUCCCUUUAGCUAGCCUAAAAUUUUGAAAUAGUCUUUGAGGCGCUAGUCCACCAUCUCCUCAGGUUGCUAGCUCUUGAAUAAACCUGCUUUUCCUGCACCAACUCUUGUCUUGCAAGUCUUGCUUUUGAGCAGUGAGCAGUGAUCAGCUGACCCUUAGUUUGGUUACACUAUCACUCAGGAAAUUCCAAGCAUUUUAGAAGGUCUGUGGCAGGAACCAGGAACUAAGUUCAAAUUUAUUUUUUAUUAUACCACAGGUCCCAACUCCCAUGACUACCUGGAUGGUGACAAAGACGAAUUAUCUCUUCAUCCUUCUUUCUCACUCUAAAUAUACACAGACAUGCUAUUAGGAGGGAAAACUUUCCCUCUACCAACUUUGGUUCAGUGGGUGGGAGCCUGUGAAUUAACUAUAGACAGGUUAGCAGGGGGAAAGAAAACAAGUUGUAUUCAUAACUUGUGGAAGCAUUCAGAUGAAGAGGCUUGAUGAAGAGCUAGAGACAGAAGUUUAGUUAUCAACUCAUAGGGGAAAAGAAGGAGGGAGAAAUGACUUCUAUAGGAAAACAAAUGACUUUUGGGAAAGACAAAUAGAAGCUUUGGAUAAAGUUUUACACAAUUUUCUUGGAAUAUCUCCUGUCUGGGUGAAGUAAUCCUCACACGGUUAACAAGAAUCCUGGACAAAAAUAUAAUUAUGAGUAAGUGUUAAUCAGGCUACACUUUGACCCACUUCCUUGUAACCAAAACUCACGAACACUAGCUACUGAUAAUUUGCAUUCUCAUUGUUCCCAUAGAUAAGAUCUUUGACAUUAGAAUCAUAAGGCUUUUGUUUAAGAAUUGUUUAUGCAGAUCCUGAAUUCCGGCAGAACAGCUGACACCACCAACUUUAAAGAGCCCAACUGAUGAACUGAUCAGCAUGAGAAUACUGUUUUUUCAUCUCUCUGUCCCAUGACUUCACUCUGCAUUCUUCAACCAAUUAGUGAUCUCUUAUUUCCACCUACUCCAAAUCCUUAAAAACAACAGCCUCAAACUCUUUGAGGAAAUGGAUUUGAGGUUUCCUUCCAUCUUUUGGUUCAGCAGCCCUGCAAUUAAACCUCUUUCUCUGCUGCAACCCAGUGUCUUGGCAUAUUGACAUGCUGUGCACAUCAGGCAAAAGACCUAUUACCAUUACAUGAGGACCCCUCCGGAGGGAGAUAAUGGUGGGGGCAUUUCUGGGAGGCUCUGCUUUAGUCAGGGUGCACGUGUUGCCGCAGGAAUCGCUGGUACAUGCCAUCCUGGCCAUAGGAGGGCUGGACCAGCCCCAGCCCCAGCAGGGUCAGCAGCAAAAGCAGAAGCAAUGAAUGGGUCCUCUGCAGAGCCAUCAGUAUCUUAGAGGUGCCUAGAAAAGAAAGCAAGGGGCAGGAGAAAUAAGGUCUAUAAGCAUGAACUUAUUCAAUAACGGAAGUAACAGGUAAAGAAGGAAAAGCACACGUGGCAAGAAGAACCACGUCUCCAGGAAGAGGCAACACUACUGAUUGAAGGACAGUGGGGACAAAGUCCUGCUGACAUGCCUGUAUUUCCAAACAAAGACAAAAAUUAAACAUUUGCUUUUCAACCAACUCUGGGCUUUGUGCCCACUCACUCUUUGUUCCCAUUCCCUCUUUCCCAAGUAUUUCAUGGCAUUCUUCCGGGAAUAACUGUUUACAGAGAAUUACAGAGAAUCUGCUUAAAUACAGAUUCAAUAAAAACUCCUAAAGAAAGGUUUCACUGACCUUCAUUGGUCCACUUUUUUAUCCAGCUACUUUAAUUUGAGUCACAGUGACCAAUGCUUCCAACAAUAACUUGACAAACCUCUUACUCUUGCCUGCUUAUAACCUGAUUAUCUGUUUUCAACAAUAGCUAAAGCCAUUCCUCUUUUCCUGGAAUGAUUUUUUCCAUCCUCUCUGCCAAACGAUAGUUCAUCUCCACAUUACUAGAGUGCCUCAUGUCCUGUUACUAACAUCGUACCACUCCAUGGAGUCAUAGAACAAGAGUGGGAGGGGCCUCUGAGACUCUGUCCACCCCUCAUAUUAAAGAAGAGCCAACUGAGGAACAGAGAAAGAGACAUGUAUUGCCCAAGGAACUCAUUGCAUUCGCCGGCCUGGAAGCUUUCCAAUGCACCACACAAUUUUUUUUUUUUUUUUUUUUAAGACGGAGUCUUGCUCUGUCACCCAGGCUAGAGUGCAGUGACGCAAUCUCUGUUCACUGUAACCUCCGCCUCCCAGGUUCAAGAGAGUCUCCUGUCUCAGCCUCCCGAGUAGCUGGGGUUACAGGUGCUCACCACCGUGCCCGGCUAAUUUUUGUAUUUUUAGUAGAGACGAGGUUUCACCAUCUUGGCCAGGCUGGUCUCGAACUCCUGAUCUUGUGAUGCACCCACCUCGGCCUCCCAAAGUGCUGGGAUUACAGGCAUGAGCCACCGUGCCGGGCCCACACAACUUUUAUAUUCCAUACUAGUACUUUCUAGACAAUCAGAGCUAACUUUAAAGGGGCCACUGAAAGUUGCUGUUCGAAGGAAACCUACAUUGACUAUUACCAUAAAUUCAAAAAUUAUUUUACUCUGCUUGUCAUCAGUAAAAGAAUUGCUUGAAUUGAAGCGUAUGUAAUAAACCUAUCCUCUUGCAAAACUUGUUAGUGGCUCUGUGGUUAAGUAAGUCUUGAAUACCUGAGGCUGCUUCUGGGAAGGUGGUCCUGUGCCACAGAUAAUGAUGUCCCUUGGGUUUCUACUGAUUACAUUAUGACUUGAUUAUAAGAUUUUUACUGUCACGAGGGAGGGUCUUGGCUCAUCUGAGAUUUCCCUAGCCCCCUGAGUGGUGCUGAAAUUGUUUUAAUAAAGAUGUUGCGC
rnacentral:lncRNA from 1 species